rnacentral:rRNA from 1 species
AGCGAACGCUGGCGGCAGGCUUAACACAUGCAAGUCGAGCGGGCAUCCUUGUGGUGUCAGCGGCAGACGGGUGAGUAACGCGUGGGAACGUGCCCUUCGGUUCGGAAUAACUCGGGGAAACUUGAGCUAAUACCGGAUACGUGCGAGAGCAGAAAGGUUUAUCUGCCGAAGGAUCGGCCCGCGUCGGAUUAGCUAGUUGGUGGGGUUAUGGCUCACCAAGGCGACGAUCAGUAGCUGGUCUGAGAGGAUGAGCAGUCACACUGGGACUGAGACACGGCCCAGACUCCUACGGGAGGCAGCAGUGGGGAAUAUUGGACAAUGGGGGCAACCCUGAUCCAGCCAUGCCGCGAGAGUGAUGACGGCCUUAGGGUUGUAAAGCUCUUUUCUUCGGGACGAUAAUGACGGUACCGGAGGAAUAAGCCCCGGCUAACUUCGUG